rnacentral:rRNA from 1 species
AGCGAACGCUGGCGGCGUACCUAACACAUGCAAGUCGAACGGGGGUCAUCGGGUUAGCAAUAGUUCGGUGGUCCUAGUGGCGCACGGGUGAGUAACACGUGGGCAACCUGCCCUAGAGAUCGGGAUACCCCCUCGAAAGGGGGGCUAAUACCGGAUACGUUCCCCGGGUCGAAAGGCCUGAGGAGGAAAGGUGGCGCAAGCUGCCGCUCUUGGAGGGGCUCGCGGCCUAUCAGCUAGUUGGUGGGGUAACGGCCCACCAAGGCUAUGACGGGUAGCUGGUCUGAGAGGACGACCAGCCACACGGGGACUGAGACACGGCCCCGACCUCCUACGGGAGGCAGCAGUGGGGAAUUUUCCGCAAUGGGCGAAAGCCUGACGGAGUGACGCCGCGUGUGGGACGAAGGCCUUCGGUCGUAACCACUGUCAGU